rnacentral:rRNA from 1 species
CCUACGGGGUGCAGCAGUGGGGAAUAUUGGACAAUGGGCGAAAGCCUGAUCCAGCCAUGCCGCGUGUGUGAAGAAGGCCUUCGGGUUGUAAAGCACUUUCAGUGGGGAAGAAAGCCUUGGGGCUAAUACCCUCGAGGAAGGACAUCACCCACAGAAGAAGCACCGGCUAACUCCGUGCCAGCAGCCGCGGUAAUACGGAGGGUGCGAGCGUUAAUCGGAAUUACUGGGCGUAAAGCGCGCGUAGGCGGUCUGAUAAGCCGGUUGUGAAAGCCCCGGGCUCAACCUGGGAACGGCAUCCGGAACUGUCAGGCUAGAGUGCAGGAGAGGAAGGUAGAAGUCCCGGUGUAGCGGUGAAAUGCGUAGAGAUCGGGAGGAAUACCAGUGGCGAAGGCGGCCUUCUGGACUGACACUGACGCUGAGGUGCGAAAGCGUGGGUAGCAAACAGGAUUAGAUACCCGUGUAGUC